rnacentral:rRNA from 1 species
GCCCUUCCUACGGGAGGCAGCAGUAAGGAAUAUUGGUCAAUGGGCGAGAGCCUGAACCAGCCAUGCCGCGUGCAGGAGGACGGCCCUACGGGUUGUAAACUGCUUUUGCACGGGAACAAACCCCGGUACGUGUACCGGUUUGAGUGUACCGUGAGAAUAAGGAUUGGCUAACUCCGUGCCAGCAGCCGCGGUAAUAAGGGCAAUUCGUUUA